rnacentral:rRNA from 1 species
UACGAAGGGGGCUAGCGUUGCUCGGAAUGACUGGGCGUAAAGGGCGCGUAGGCGGUUCAUACAGUCAGAUGUGAAAUUCCCGGGCUUAACCUGGGGGCUGCAUUUGAUACGUGUGGGCUUGAGUGAGGAAGAGGGUUGUGGAAUUCCCAGUGUAGAGGUGAAAUUCGUAGAUAUCGGGAGGAACACCAAUGGCGAAAGCAGGUACCUGGACUAUUACUGACACUCAGCUGCGAAAGCUAGGGGAGCAAACAGG